rnacentral:rRNA from 1 species
GAUGAACGCUAGCGGCAGGCCUAAUACAUGCAAGUCGGACGGGAUCCAUUGAUAGCUUGCUCUCAAUGGUGAGAGUGGCGCACGGGUGCGUAACGCGUGAGCAACCUGCCUCCAUCAGGGGGAUAGCCUCUCGAAAGAGAGAUUAACACCGCAUAAUAUCAACAGUUCGCAUGUUCAGUUGAUUAAAUAUUUAUAGGAUGGAGAUGGGCUCGCGUGACAUUAGCUAGUUGGUAGGGUAACGGCUUACCAAGGCGACGAUGUCUAGGGGAUCUGAGAGGAGAAUCCCCCACACUGGUACUGAGACACGGACCAGACUCCUACGGGAGGCAGCAGUAAGGAAUAUUGGGCAAUGGGCGGAAGCCUGAACCAGCCAUGCCGCGUGCAGGAGGACUGCCCUAGGGGUGGUAAACUGCUUUGGACCAGGAAUAAACCUAAAUACGAGUAUUUAGCUGAAUGUACUGGAAGAAUAAGGAUCGGCUAACUCCGUG